AGUAGAUUAUAAGCUUUGUAAUGAUACCUUACAAGAGACCUUUUGCAUGAAGCAUAUUUUAGUUACAUUAUAUUCACACUCCCUAUAUAGAGUGCGUCACAGGGGGAAACUCUGCUAAUUGGUUAAGCCUGCACUAGUCUGCCCACUAGUUGGCAGACAAAAGAGCCUGCACCAUAUACUAUUAGGAGUUUUAUUAAUUAGUCACACCAGCAGUGAGGCAUCCACUGGCACGUACAGAAAGAAUGCCGUCUGUAAUGAAAAGCAUAAGUGCCUGUUUUCACAAAGCAGCCCCUCCGGCAACUCAGCCAGAAAAGUGAAAUGGAGAAAAUGUACGUAACUCACAGACUGAACUAUGCAAAGAACAUUUUCGUCAUGGGCAAGAACAGUGAAAAAUAUCAUCUUUUUGUGUCUUUGCUAAAGCAGAAGGUGUUUUAGAAACUGGAGUUCCUGGAUAUGAGUUAUUCACAAAGCAAAAUGUGUUGCAUCACACAGCUCUGUUUGCACAUCUCCUUUGCAUUCACAACAUAGUCUUAACUGUAUGUGUAAUUUAGUGAUUACAGACUCAUGUUGUCUGGGGACACUACCCCAGAAAUGGGCGCAGCUGUUUCUGGGUUAUGUAAUCACUUUAUUGAAAUAGAAGGCUCUUUUUCAGACUGCACAUCUGAAUUAAUGCCCCAGCAUGGGCUAGUGGUCACUGUGCGGCUGGAGGUGCUGUUUUUCAAUGAGAUAUAACACCAAGACCUGAUUGUUUCAGUCAUUAAAGAUCCCAUGGCACUUCCCAUAAGAAAAGUGUACAGUAAAGCUUGUGGUUGUUGUGUGCUGUUAAUCAAGGAGCCACGUUUCCCCCCAGAGGUGGCUGGAUUUCAGUACAGGGUGAAAUGAUGCAUUUAAUGUGUGUGUGUCCAUGCACGCCUAUUUAGUUAUAUAUCAGUUAAUUCAUGGAUGGGGUUUUCAGAGGCACCCUGGGCUGCUGUAACGCUGCUUCCAUUGAAGUCAGUGCUUUUUUUAUUGGCUGAGGGCUUUUGAAAAAUCUCAUUUGUAACCCCUCUCUAGAGACUAGUUUCAGGGAUAGAUUCAGCUCAGGUUUAUUGGUGGCAUAACCCCCUGCUAGAUGGGCACGGGUAGUCAUAGCCACAGCUUCCCUUUAUCUCCCCACUGGGGGCCAUGGGAAGCAGUGCAGCCCAAACGUUGCCUUGGCUGAGAAGAGCAUGGCUAAGGUGUCAGGGGGUGUACUGAUUCAAUGCACUUUCUGCAGGUACAGCUCCUGUAGAACACCACUUCUGUUGCCCCCCAGGAAGAAACCCAAUGGAGGGUGAGGAUGGUAAGAAUUUUCCUUUACCUGCUCUGCUUUGGGAUGAACCUUCUAGGAUCCAGGGAACUUUGUAGACACAGGAAGACUUACUUUAUAUCUCCCACCACUGACAAGAGGGAAUUUGGCACUAAUUUCACAUAUUGCUUUGAGAUCUUUAGCAGUAUGAUAAAUGGAAGUGCUCUAUAGAUGGAAAAUGUGAAUGAUUAUAAAGUUAUUAUUUACAAAGCAAUCUUUGCUUUCCUUUGGGAUGCAGAAGUGUAAGUGGUUUGCAAGCCAAUGAAACCAAAAUCAACUUCUUGACUCAUUUUAUGUAACUUUUGUUAACACUCCUCUGGGUAUUUUCCUCUCUUCUUGCUCUGUCCACUUCAUCAGCACAAUGGUGCAAAAUUAGCUAUUGAAUCUACAGGAAGGAAGCUCCAGGAAACAGGUGACACAAUAUCAGGCUAGACUUUAAAAGCAUACUUCCUCCACCAGCUCAGAUUUAUUCUGUAUCAGAUUUUUAAAGGGAAAUAGUAAAUUACGCUGGUGUGUCCCUUAGCUGAGAAACAAGCCAUUUUUGAUCAGAUGCAUUAUUCUGGUGCAGAGGAUGCAGUAUUCCACCGGGUAUAGGUGAGGCUGAAGUCUGGAGUCAUUCAUUUUGUCCUCUAUUCAAAAGUGAGCAUUCAGAGAUGUGAUUUAUUCAUCCUAGAGCUGUGUGAACAUUUGGAAGAAACUCCUUCAGGAACACUAAAAAUAGCUCCCUCUCUGUUUAGCCUUUUUUCUGCUGUAAAAAGAUCAGAUGCUUUGACAAGAAGGGGGAUUUUUUGAUGUGUGCUUGCACAUUGUUGUGAACACACAUUCCUGAUAUACAUAUGGGAAAUCAGACCAAUAAAUAAAUCAUACUAGUUUUGUAAUAAUGGCAACUAAUGCCUACAAGUUUAUAGUCAAAGAUGCCCUCAGAACAACUGCUUUGGGAAUUGUAAGAACGUGUGCCUCAGGGCAGCAUAUUUCUUUUCAUUCAUUAGCGAUGACCAUACACACUCACAACUUCCUUUUCACUCCACCUUGAGUUAUAUAACACAUAAUAGUGGGUGGCUCUAUUGGAUACCCUCUGCUUCAUUACAAGGCACUCUGCUUUCAACCUUGUGCUUCUCAACACAAGUAUCUUCUAUAGCCACACAUCCUGGGCCAACUUGAGGUCAUAUGGUAAGAGGAUGGUCACCACUCCUGAAACAGACUUGCUGGUAUGUGAAUCUGCAACCACAUGCACACAAAGUGCAAUAAUUUCUACAGCUCUGCUCAGCAACUGCACCUGAGGGUGUGGUAUAUAGGACAAGUUAGUAGGUCAGAGUAGGGGGGUGUGAAUGAUGAUAAGUUGGUUUAACACACAAAGUGGGGUGGAAGGGCAGGGUUGAAGCAGGCAAAUCAAUCACUAAGAGGGUAUGUUUUUUUUGUUUUGUUUUUUUGUUCUUAAAAAGCCAGGAUGGCAAUAAAAAAGGUCUGCCUUAGCAUGUAAAAUAAAUGUAUUUAUAUUUGCUCUAUUUGACCUGUAACUUACCUUCAUAUAUACACUCUGAAUUUGUCCCCUUAUCCUUUGGUGUUGGAUAUUGUUUGGGAUUUUAAAUAUAGUUUUGUUACAUUUUUAAAUGAAAGGAAUUUUUCAGAAAAUAAAGGGACUUAAUUAUAACCGUAUUCAUGAAAAGUGAUUAUUUUAUUUAAAAAAUAACUGAAAAUAAUUAAAUCUUUUCCCCCACAGUAUUGGACCGUCCCUCUGUAAUGAGUAUUGAAAUUUACUAUUUCCCUCCCAUUAAAAUGUAAUUUUGUUUUUAAUAAGCAUCAGUAAACCAGCUUGGAUUCACUAAAAACUGGCUUGAACCUGUUCUGAGUUUUGAAUCAGUUCAGUUACUUCAAAAUUUCAUGUGACUGGACUUCCUGAGCACAGCUGAGUCUGGAAGGAGAGGUUUCAUAGGAGUGGCUAGGUUAACUUGUCAAGAUUUCUAUCCAAAAUACAUUAAAUAAUCAUCCAGUCCAUUAUAGUUUUAGGGCAGUUCUUUCGGUAAAAUCAUUGCAGUCAAAGAAUCAUUGCACUGCAUAGUCACGUUGUAUAAUGACUAACAGAAUGUCUAUGGAACAAAAAAGCACUUUUUUCUUAUUGUCCCUUUUGUGUAGAGUUUGUGUAAGUAUGAAAUCUAAAUAAAUAUAUAAAUCAAUUACAUCCAUUGUCAGUGCCAAUGGGCAGAGUAUGCAUAAAGGGUGCCUUUUACACUAUUGUGAAACAGAUAGGUGUUUGUGAUAUUCAGGCAAAUUUCUUGUCUCAGCUGCCUUUCUGUGCUGAUCUAUCUUUUGUGCUGCAAUUGUUUUUAAAAUGUCCUUGGUGCUCCAGAAAGAAGAAUACUGUUGUUGAGUGAUCAAAAUCAGGUAAUAGCACACUGCUUUUAAAGACCCCAUGUUAUUCUGGUUUGGCUCAAGAGAGUAAAAAUGACAUGUUAUGCUCUUUUUUCCAUUUCAGUAUAUUCAAUAUACUCUUCUUCCAUUUGUGGGUAUAAACUUGGCUCAAUUUGCAAGAGGAAUACAUCUGAGGCAGAGUUGGGAGUUUCAGGGAACAAAUUGAACAGGCCCGUCAGACAAAACUAUUGUAUGGACUGUGGCAGAGGGCAAUGGCAGUGGAAAAUCCAGGAGGGCAUGGGUUUGCAGCUGUGGGGCCAUAGAAAGUCAAUGAAGCUGAUGAAGUGGUCAGGAAGGGGAUAUGAUGAAUGCAGCAAGAAAGAGAACGACAUAAAAUAUGACACAUCAGCGGAAUUAUUUUGAAAUAGAAUAUUUUGCCUUGUUUUCCACCAGGCAUCAGAGACUCUACGUUUAAGGUUAAAACGGGUCUAUAACGUGGUUGUACGCUGGAGCUGUGCCCAUUUACACCAGCUGAUGACGUGGCUCCACAUUUUCAGCCAAUGCAAACAAGGAAAUCCUUUGCGAGAUGAUUUAUUGGACGUGCGUCACCAUUUAGUUGAUUCCUGUGGCUGAGAAGAGACAGCUGAUGAAUCUGAAGAUUAAUGGGACACACCUGAUCCAGUCUGCUUGUUAGUGCAAUCAGUUCUGCAACUCUAAUCUGCUUUGAAGUUAUGUCUCUCACAUUGUUAUUGUUACCAAACCAAUAUGUCUGUCUAAUUUGCAAAGUUAUUGGUUAGAAACCUAAGCAUUUGUUGUGAAAUCUCAGUUGUUGAAACCCACUGAAGCCACUGGGCCUACCUGUUUUGUUAGUUUGAGGCCUAAAAUUUCCUAAUCUAUGAAAGAGUGCUGGACAAUACCAACAUACUUUACAGAAUCAUUCCUGCAUUCUAGAGAAGAUAUACAAUAUAACAAAUAACCACAUAUAGGCACUUUCACAGUUUGUAAGGGAAUGAUCUAUCCCAUCUAGCACUGCAAAUCAUUUUAGAUUUUUGUAUAUGUAUGUGAAACACUAAAAAGUAAUUAAAAUUAUGGUAGUGAAGUUGAUUGUGAUGUAUU